rnacentral:rRNA from 1 species
CCGACGGUGAGAGGCGAAAGCUGGGGGAGCAAACCGGAUUAGAUACCCGGGUAGUCCCAGCUGUAAACGAUGCGCGUUAGGUGUGUCAGUGACCACGUGUCACUGAUGUGCCGAAGGGAAACCGUGAAACGCGCCGCCUGGGGAGUACGGUCGCAGGGCUGAAACUUAAAGGAAUUGGCGGGGGAGCACCACAACGGGUGGAGCCUGCUGUUUAAUCGGACUCAACGCCGGAAAUCUCACCGGAUAA